UCGAGAAUUUUUCACAAUGGGCGAAAGCCUGAUGGUGCGACGCCGCGUGGGGGAUGAAUGGCUUCGGCCCGUAAACCCCUGUCAUUCGCGAGCAAACGUUAUUAUUUAAAAGAUGAUAGCCUGAUAGUAGCGAAAGAGGAAGGGACGGCUAACUCUGUGCCAGCAGCCGCGGUAAUACAGAGGUCCCAAGCGUUGUUCGGAUUUACUGGGCGUAAAGGGUGCGUAGGUGGUGGGGUAAGUCGGAUGUGAAAUCUCCGAGCUCAACUGGGAAAGUGGAUUGGAAACGACCCUGCUGGAGGGGUGGAGGGGGGA
rnacentral:rRNA from 1 species